UCCCCCGAAUGAGGGCAGUCUCGUCUGAAAAAUCCAACAGACGAUGAGGGUUUCGCUCGUUUACCGACUUAACGGUACAGCUCACGCCACGAGCUGACGACAGCCGUGCAACACCUGUCAUCCCGCUCCCUUGCGGGCACGGCCCUAUUUCUAGGGCUUUCGGGAGAUGUCAAACCCUGGUAAGGUUCUCCGGUUAUCGUCGAAUUAAACCACAUGCUCCACCGCUUGUGCGAUCCCCCGUCAAUUCCUUUGAGUUUUAGUCUUGCGACCGUACUCCCCAGGCGGCACACUUAACGCGUUAGCUACGCUACAAGAAGGGUCGAUACUUCUGAUAGCUAGUGUGCAUCGUUUACGGCGUGGACUAC
rnacentral:misc_RNA from 1 species